GUGUGGUUCAGCAGGCUAAGCCUCUGUGCAUGUGAUCAGAAGGUUGCUGGAUUGAGCCCUGACAGAACAUUCACAUGUCUGUACAGAUGGGGGCAGUGUGUGGUUCAGCAGGCUAAGCCUCUGUGCAUGUGAUCAGAAGGUUGCUGGUUUGAGCCCUGAAAGAACAUUCACAUGUCUGUACAGAUGGAGACAGUGUGUGGUUCAGCAGGCUAAGCCUCUGUGCAUGUGAUCAGAAGGUUGCUGGUUUGAUCCCUGACAGAACAUUCACAUGUCUGUACAGAUGGGGGCAGUGUGUGGUUCAGCAGGCUAAGCCUCUGUGCAUGUGAUCAGAAGGUUGCUGGUUU